rnacentral:rRNA from 1 species
UACGUAUGGUGCGAGCGUUGUCCGGAAUUAUUGGGCGUAAAGCGCUUGUAGGCGGUUUGUCGCGUCUGCUGUGAAAAUCCGGGGCUCAACCCCGGACUUGCAGUGGGUACGGGCAGACUAGAGUGUGGUAGGGGAAACUGGAAUUCCUGGUGUAGCGGUGAAAUGCGCAGAUAUCAGGAGGAACACCGAUGGCGAAGGCAGGUCUCUGGGCCGCUACUGACGCUGAGAAGCGAAAGCAUGGGGAGCGAACAGG